rnacentral:lncRNA from 1 species
GUGUGAAUGGGCUGUAGAAAAAGGAGAGAUACAGGACGGAAUAAACAGGUAAACCAACAACUCAAAAUGCUGUACAACUACAAAAUUAAAAGAAAGUGGAACGAUACACAUUUAUAAUCCAGCCCCCAAUUUUUUUGGGGGGGUGCCAGGUAUUGAACUCAGGGGCACCCAAACACUGAGCCACAUCCCCAGCCUUAUUUUUUGUAUUUUGUUUACAGACAGGCUCUAACUGAGUUGCUGAGGCUGGUUUUGAACUCAUGAUCCUCCUGUCUCAGCCUCCUGAAACACUGGGAUUACAAGCAUGCACCGCCACACCCGGCUUUAGCCCCCAGUUCUAUAACCGUGUAAUAGGGCAUAGAGCUGGUGUGCACUGAGAUUAAGAUACCGGAUUGCUGACACCAAGUUCAUGAUUAAUAGACACACAUUGACAUAACUGUAGUAUGUUUGGGAUUAAAGAGAAAUAUACAGUGGGUGUUGGCUUCCACUCAGGGAAAGACUGGGAGCUGUGCAUUAAAGCAGCACCACUGUAUACUCAGCUUCUGCAAGAUCCAGGUCAUGCUCCUGCACAGAAAUCCCCAGAGGAAAGGAUGAGCCAUUAUUUAAGAAUGGAAGUCACCUGGGGGCCUGCCAGGCCUGUCUGGGGGUUUCACCCCUGGGAAUUCUCACAUAGGUCAUUCCUGUCUUUCUUCCUGGGAGCCUGUGCUCUCCUCCUCCAUCUUGUGAGUGCUCAGGCCCCAGGUGGGGGAGGCAGCACCUCUGGGGCAAUACCAGACCAGCACCGUGUCAGGCUCCCGGUUCCUGUGCAUGCGAACAGCCCUGCUCCCUCCGUCCCUCCCCACAGCCUCUCUGCUCCUCUAUAUUCUUCUCAACCCUCCUGCCCACAACACCCCUGCCUUCCUUCUCCCUCCAGCAGAAAGAAUUGGAACCAGAAUGUGCCUCCUACUAAGGUUAUGAUGAGUAACAUUUUCA